rnacentral:rRNA from 1 species
UGCCAGACUCCUACGGGAGGCAGCAGUGGGGGAUAUUGCACAAUGGAGGAAACUCUGAUGCAGCGACGCCGCGUGGGUGAAGGAGCGUUUCGGCGCGUAAAGCCCUAUCGGCAGGGAAGAAGGAGGACGGUACCUGACUAAGAAGCCCCGGCUAACUACGUGCCAGCAGCCGCGGUAAUACGUAGGGGGCAAGCGUUAUCCGGAUUUACUGGGUGUAAAGGGGGCGCAGACGGCAGCGCAAGCCAGGAGUGAAAGCCCGGGGCCCAACCCCGGGACUGCUCUUGGAACUGCGUGGCUGGAGUGCAGGAGAGGCAGGCGGAAUUCCUGGUGUAGCGGUGAAAUGCGUAGAUAUCCGGAGGAACACCGGUGGCGAAGGCGGCCUGCUGGACUGCAACUGACGCUGAGGCUCGAAAGCGUGGGGAGCAAACAGGAUUAGAUACCCCGGUA